ensembl:lncRNA
UGCACAUACAGUUUUUAAACUUUUUAUCUUGGAAUAGUUUCAAAUUUUAGGAAAAUUACAGGAAUAACACAAAGAACAUCACAUACACUUGCAUACAGAUUCCCCAGUUGUUUUUAUAUUUGCCUCACAUUGGCUUGAUCUCUCUCUCUCUCUCUCUUUCUCCACACACGCACACACGCACACACAUUAUAUCUAUUAUAUGUACAUUCUGUGUAUUUUCCCUCUAAGCUAGGAGCACGGUAACAGUGCCUAUUACCCUUUAGUACUUCAGUAUCUAGUUCCUAACAAGAGUACCCUCCUACCUAAUGAGAGGACAAUCUGGAAAUUAACAUUGAUAUAUUACUUCCAAUUACUUCUCAGGUCCCCCACCAUUUAUUUUGCUUAUUGUUCCAAUGUUGUCUUCUAUAGACAAAGGAGGCAAUCCAGGAGUAUAUGUUGUAUUUAUUCUGAUGUUAUCUUUCUAGGCUCCUUCCAUCUGGAAAUGUUCGUCUUUCCUUAUCUUUCACGGCCUUAGCAUUUUUGAAGAGUACAUGCUUGCUACUUUGUAAAAUGCUCUUUAUUUGGGGAUUGUUGGGUGUUUUAUCACUGUUAAUUUCAGGGGAUGCAUUUUCGCCAGGAAUACAAAUAUACCAAGUUUUCUCAGUGGAACAUCACCUGGAUUUAUCUCAUGACUAGGACUAGUGCUGUUAGUGUUUAUCAUUUGAGUUAAUAUAUUUGCCAGGUUCCUCUACUUUAAAGUUAGUAAGUAUUUUAUACUUUUUAAAUCAAAUAUUAGGUGCUUUGUGGGAAAAUACUUUAAGACUCCAUCCAUGCUGUACCUCGUCAGUUUUCCCUCAUUUGUGGCAUUCAUUGCUCGUUAUUGCCCGAAUCAAUUGCAAAAUGGUGGCUUUAAAAUUCCAUACUCUUUCUCAUUUAUUACCUGAAAUUCAACUGUAAGUUAGAGCUUAGAGGCAAACUCAAGCAACACGCAGACGAACGCUCAGAGGCAAGGCGCCUCUCUGUUGGUUUCCUUUCAUCCCGGCCGGCGUGACGCUCAGAUUAAGCGAGCUUCGAAGGAAGGAGGCAGCCGUGUCCGAACGUUCGAUCCUCCUGAGGCAAAAGGGGCUGCAGUGGCGUGCGGCUGCCAGAGCCAGCCGAAGACGGACGAGAAAGAGUUUGCAGAAAGUUUCCUAACUGAAAUUUGGAGACUGAAUGUGGACUGGAAAAAAAAAAAAAAAAGAACGUGGGAUGUUUUAAGCCCAGAUGACUGGACUGGUGGUAGGAUAAAAGAUAGGGGUGUCCAAAGGUGGAGCUGGUGUUGGGGAGCACAACAGGGUUAAUUUGAGGUCAGUGGAGCGUGAAGUGCCAGCAGGGUGUAGGACUUGUGUCCUCUGACAGUUGGGGGGGCCAAUGGUACCAGCUCAGGAGGAGGUCAGGGCUGGAAAUGAAGGUUGUGAUUCGUCUUCCCUGGAGUAGGCAAUGGAUGCGGGUAAGAUCGCAGUUGGAGCCAGUUUUGGAGAAAGAGAAGAUGGGUGAGGACAAAAUCAUUGUGAGUGAGGAGGGGUCCUG